GGGACGGGGCAUUCACAACCUCUCUGGGCAGCCUGAAAGUGACUAAAAAUUACAUCUAAUAUAUUUUCAGAGGUCUAACAACUCAAAAGUAUGGUGUAUAUGCAAGAAUAAGUAAAGUGGAAUAUAGCAAAUGUAAUGAAAAGCAAGGUGAGAGAUCAGUUGCGUGCACUGCUGGAUGAAGAGUGAGUAGGUAGUAGUUUGUUCUGUAGUCAAAAAGGACAGAUGUGGCACUCCAGCAUGUGCUUACUGCAGGAAGUAGUUAAUAUUUUUGUCGGCAGUGUUCAGCCCCCACUUCUUGCAAAAAACAAUUAAUGGCCUUUCUGCCUGGUGAUGAAAAUAGAUGCCAAAUUUAAGUUGUUUCUUGAAGGCAGAUGUAAUUAGAUCAUGAAACUUCUGGCUUUUGAGUCUAAAUAAUAGCAUAAGAAUGCCCACACUAAAUUAGAGCAGGAUACUGUCUCCUAACUGUUUCUUAGGGGUGAUGACAGGAGCAAUGCAAGCAUGAAGUUACACUUUCCCCAAUUUCCAGCUGUGUGCAAUGCACAUAGUCCUUGAACUGUAGAUUUAAGAGCAUUAUAUAUUUAACAGCCCUUUCUGAAUCCUUCCUCUAUAGAUUUUUCUAAUUAUUUAUUAAACGCACUUACAUUUUUGUCAGCCACAACAUUCUUAUAGCAAUAAACUAUGCAGUGUAGCUCUGAAUUGUGUGAAAAAUAUUUCUGUUUGAUUUAAGCUACACUAUUCAUGGCCUACUAGGUCUUACGUAUGAGAAAUAGGGAACAAUUGUUUGUUACUUUCUCUGGGCUACUUUCAAUUUUAUAUACAGCUAUUAUAUUUCCUCUUAGUUAACUCUCUUGUUCUCUUGUUGAUUUUUUUUUUUUAAAUUAUGUUUUUAAAUAGGAGAGCACUUUAUUGAGCCUCACGCUGUUAUGGAGUUCUACUGCUGUUCAUCUUUCUUGUCCUGCAUACUUCUAAUAGACCUAUGGGUCAAUCAGAACUACAUGCAGUGCUUCGGAUGUGGGUGCAGUCUGGGUUUGUAUGGUGGUGCAGUAGUUUGUCUUUUGCCUUUUCUUCCUCCUAUAAUGGUUGUAACAUUUUGUUUGCAUUUUCUAUCUGACGGAGAGCACCGGACAGAUGUUUGCAAAGAGGUCUCAACAAAGAGUCCAAGAUUGUUCCUGGAGUGAUUAUUUAUAAUUUAUCACAGUGUAUGUGCAAUUAGGGUGUUUUUCUCCUCCAAGUGUAUUUCUGUGCGUCUAUCGAUAAUAAAUGAUGUGUGGUUUUAUGUUGCUGAAUCACUCGGCAUUCAGUAUGACAAUGCCUUUUGAAGUAUUGACUGUUGUAAGCAAUUUCUAUCAUCAGCAAACUUAGCCAACUCAUUAUUAAUCCCCUUUUCCAGAUCAUCUGUGAAUGUACUGAAGAAAACAAGUUCAAGUGCGGAUCCCUGAUCUCUGCUCUCCCGUGGUGAAAACAAUUUAUUAUUACGCUUCAACAAAUCAUUAAUCUACUAAAGAAUGUUCAUUCUUAUGAUAACUCAGUUUCUUUAAGAGCCUUUAGAGAGAGAUCUUGUCAAAACACUUUGACUUCUGAAAAUCCAAGAACAUUACAGCAAUCCGUGUUCACCAACAUGCUGACUUCUUUCAAGAAUUGUAACAUUGCCAAUUUUAUCAACCCACAUCAGGCUGUAAACCCUACAUUUAGUCAGGUUUCUUCUGCAGAUAUGACGUUAUUUGUGUACCAAAAAUAGUGGCGAGCACUUUCAUUACUUGUACAAAGGCUUCUAGCAGUUAGUGACAGUUUCUAAGUGAACUUAUUGCUAUGCUGCCAGAAACUCCAGAGCGAGGUACAGAUUUCCAUUGACCCUGAAUGCAGCAUGGUUUCUUUGUGAUAGAAGUCUUCUAUUUAUUUUCCAUAAAUGACAUAUCCCUGAAGCAACAGUGAGGGAAUGAAAGUUACAUUUUAUCACUGUAACAUUUGCAGAAAAGUGAACUGCUAAACUCCCUAUUCAUAAUGAAACUUUGACUAGCCAUGAGUUCUUAAAAAGCUUACCUGCAGGUGCAUAGCUUUUUUUUUUUCCUUUAAAAAUUUAUAUCUGAGCCUUAUGAACUUCUGAUUAAACUUUUAAAAUAAAUUAAGGGUGAGAGGAUUAGACAGGGAAUUGGAAAUGAACUGUGGUAUCUUUUGCCUCUAGCUCAGCAUUUUGAAGGCAGCCCAAAUGAGAUGUGACAAAGUGCAGUGCUCUCGUUUCUUUCUGCUGACCUAUGUCUGUCACAGAUUUGCUGACCAGUGAAGAAGUCCUUCUGGAAAGCCAAAACACAUUGUUGUGAAACAGGCUGAUUUGGGUUGGAUUUUGAACAAAACUGUGCUCUCCACUUCAUUAGUUUUAUUAAGUGAGAUAAAAGGGUUGUUAUAGUAGUUGUUAAAUUAAUAUCUCAUCUCUUGAUGACAAUCAUGCUUAUGGCAAGACUAUUACCAUCACUUGUAGUGCUGGAAAGUACUAUGAAAACUCCAAGAAACCAAGAUCUGGCUACACACCAUCAGGUGCUGCCUGCCAUAUAUCUGAAUUACUUAGACCUCUGAGUAAAGCUAAUCUUUCUUGCUAGAACCAAGCAUAUAACUUUUAAGGUGACAAGAAAUCCCCCACAGAAAUUACAGAAAAACAGAAUAAAGCAAAUGCUUGCUAUUCAGAAGAGGUUUGCCAUCGCAGUAUCUGAAAACCUUAUUAUAAAGGUAAUAAGCAAAGCAUGACUACUCAUCUGUCUUAUUUUGUUUUUUAUCCAUUUUACGGAAAAAGAAAUGUGCAUAUUAGAAUAUUAUGUUUGUUCUGAUGAAUUUUUAUCCAAUAACAUAUGUUGUGCUAUGCAAAUGUAUAUAUAAAUGAAGAAAUAUGCUUUGCAUUUGGAAUAAAAGGGUGCCAACCACUUUCUAAUUUUUAUGAGGUCUUCAGGAAAACCCUAAAUCUUUUCUCUCUACAGUGAGUUGUAAUCUUACUGUGUAGCAUUCAUUGUGUAAUUGUUGACUAUUGUCUUUUCUCUGGCAAUGUACUGAUCUUAGUCCCAGGACAUGAAAUGCCUUACAGAGCAAGACUUAGCACAUUCAUUGACCUGUGGGAAGAUGCUGGAGAAACUGUAAAGCCAGUGGGUUGUAUUUGUAAUAGCUUCUGUUGUGGAGGAAGGAAUCUGCUGUCUCUAUGGCAAACUGGAGCCACCACAGUGGUACAGAUCUCUGUCCCAGGAUGUGUUAUCCAGCCAAGGCCAAUGGAAGGAAGCUUGAGUAACUGAGGUCUGCUGGCCUGGCAAAGCGUCUUGGGUCCAGCUGGCAACAAGAGAGAGCACUGUGCAUGGAUGUUGCCUUGUGAGAGUUUUAUAGCCCUGAUGAAUGAGGAGAAUUCCUGGAGUGUGGACUGAGUUGGUAAACAAGUCUUGUCUGGGUGAAGGGAUCUGCAUGCUUGAUGCUAAACUCAAAGCUCUUCCCUCUGACACCGCUACUGGCUUUUUGAUUGCUUAUCCUUAAUCUUAUGUAGAGAUUGCACAAACAGGAAGAAAAAGUAGUGUGCUCUGUUUUAAUAGGACGGAAAUUUGAAUUCUGAAUGAAGGCUUUGAAAACAUGAACUUGUAACACUAAAGUGAUUCUGUAUAACCUUUGUGUUCUUGCUGAGUUAUUUGCAGAAUUAGUUUUGGACAAUCUUUUUUCUUCUUUCUGGGCAGUACAUAUACAGCACUAUGGGACUGCAGGAUUUCUAUCCUCUUAUCCAUGUGUAAAUGGGAUCAAAAUCGGGAAGGGAACCCAGCUGACAUUGAUUUAAUCAUGGGGGCACAGCCCCCAUUCCCUGCCCAUCUCAAGUACAUCUGAUGUGUACUUGAUGUGAUUUGGCACCUGGGGUAAACUCUAGGCAGCACUGUGUGUGUGUCAGGAUACUUUGGAUCUCAUUGCUGGUUAAGGUGUUACUGCCUACCCUGCUUUCUAGAAACUGCCUCUACAUUUUGGCAUUAAUUAUUAGUUGGGUUUGACUUCUGUGGCCCUCGCUUAUUAGUAUCUUACUGCAGAAGUCAUUUUUCUGUUAUAAAUUGUGUUCAAGCAUAGUCUUUAAAUUUGAUAAGUAGAUGUGCCACAGUUUUGAAGCUCUCAUUUCCUUCACCAACCCUAAAAUAAUUUGAGAUAGUUGGUUGUGUGGACAAAGUUUGAUCCUUGAUUCAUACAGGAGCUGGUUUGUGGCACAUAUUCCAUCUAAAUGGUAUGGUUUUGUUUCUCUUGUACUGACUUUGUCAGAUAAUGAACGCAAUGGAUUGGAUGCCUUAGUCCAAAAAUAUGUUUUUAUCGCACAGGUGCCAUGCAUUCAUUGCAUUAUGUGUAGAUUUAAAUAUCUUGUCUGUAGGUAUUAGUCACGUUCCAAGACAAGUUCUUAAAAAGAAAGUCAUUCAUAUUCUACAAGAUUAAUUUUCAAUUAUUGCCUAACACAUUUAGUACUUCGGUGCCCUUCAGCUCUCUAGCUGUGUCUCAUUGGAAGUAAAUGACUAUUUCCUUUACUUUAUCCAAAAAGACAAAAGUAGUUUUAUGUGAAAAAAUCUAAAUCUGCACGUCAUAGAAAAAAUACAGUGCUUUUUCUGCCUGUUUUAUACUGUAUCUAUUUUGUGUCAUACAUGGAAUCUCAGUCAAAAUACUUCACGAGUUGUUUCCUUUCUUGCAUAAAACCUUCUCCAGCCACAUGAGGAAUUUACUCGUAAAAAAAACCCAACACUAAACACCAAGUCAUUCCAAACUAAUAAGUAAUCCAAUAAGCUUUCAAUUCGACAACUUCACGACGAUUGCCUCCACAAGUAAAGUUGGUACAUUUUGAAGAAAGGGAAGAGUACUGUAGCUUGUUUUCAGAAAAGGCAAUUACCUGUAUCACUUACCUGUAUCACAUAGCUUCUGGAGAAGCAUGGCUGUGAAGGCUCUAAAAUCUGAAGAUGAAGAUACUCCUAUUUUGUAGAAGUUGGUUGUACAUAUUGCCAACAUGACAAUUCUUAGGACUUCUGAAAUGUAAGGAACAUGCAGUGUUAUUAUCUUGGCAGUCCUUCCCAGGUGUCUCAUCAACUAGCAGUGCUGCUCAUAUCUACUGCCACGUGUUAAGGGUGCAAUGGCUAGAAUCCUUUUUACAGCAGCAGAUCUGUAGGGUGUUAUCUUUCUGGCUUUCCUGGUAGUGAUUUCUGCGUCUUCAGUGCAAGGCUGGAAUUUAUAAGUUCAGUAAUUAUUUUACUCAUUGACCAUCCAGAGUAUAUACAUACUGGCAAAUCUGGCAAAUUAUGGAAUGACUGAAUCAUCUGUUAAAACCCAAAGUGAAAAUGAGUAUUUGAGGUUUUUCACAUUCAAGUUUCCUCCAUCUCUCAGUUUUUAGUACUUUGUGUUCUUGGCAGCUUUUGGGAGGUUCAGAAAGCACAAACACUAAAAUAUAUGGGGACAUUUCAGUUACAAUUAUCUUCCCAACACUGGCAAUCCCAAAUCAACCUCAAACAGUCUGAAAAGAACUUCUCAAUAUGAGAGGAAAUAGCAGAUAAUUCUAUACGAGCUUAAAUAUACUGGUAAUGGCAUUGCAAUUUGGAGGAUGGACAAAGCAAUGCAGGAGAGCAGGAUGCACAGAUCAGUCAGAGUGGAGUUCUAUAAACAAUGGCUGCUGCAGGUGCCUGAGUGUUGUCAGUGCUUUUUUAGCCUACUGCAGGACCAGCAGUGAGGAGAGUGAACCAGGAAUGACCUAAGAACAAACCAGGAAGCUGGGGCAAAUUAAAGUCAAGAGGUUUCUCACCUUUACCCGCUAAGCCAAUCUCAGUAAACUCCCAGCAAUGAAACAGUUAAUGGAGGUACCACAACAGCUAGUUUCAGAUUGACUUGCUUAAGAUAUUUCUGGCACACAAGGUAGUUGCAGAAACUUUUUAACAUAUUCCCACGUGCUGGUGUUUAAACAGAAAUGAAGAUACAGAGCAGGACUCUUGGGGUGGGGUAGUCAUGUUCUUCCCCUGCACCAAGUCUCACUAAAGCAAGACUUCAGCCUGACAGUAUGGGCAAGAGCAUGGUCCUCAUGCCUUCCUUCAGCUCAGUGCUCUGUGCACAUCCCACUACAGGAAGAAGAUCAUGGCUGAUGUUUGCCUUAGUCAACACAUGGGUUUACCAGGCUCUGUGCUUCCCCACCACUGGGUCCAAGAGCAAAGUGUCAACUUUUUGCUUGGUCUUCCUGAUCUUUGUGUGCUACACUAUUAAAAGUGCAGAUCAGGCAACUAUCAGAGCAGGAAUUAUAACAUGUACUAAAACGCAACAAUUUCAUAUUUCACAAUUAAACCGAUGUGGAGAAUAAAGAAGGGUUGCUUUUGUAAAGUAAAAAUAAGGAAUACAGCAUGGUAAGAGAUAAUCUGCCUUUUAUUAGGUCAGCUGGAAAUAAGACUUGAAAUACGAAUUUCUGUGUUUAUGCAGGAUAAAAUCCUAUCCAGUGUUUCUGAUGUCACAUACUAAUAUUGGAUGGAGAUAAGAUGAUAUACAUUUAUUGCAUGUCAUGUAACUUAAUAAUCACCUAAAAAAGAUUUCCUUUGUCCUGGUUUAAAAGGAGAUCACAUUGUGCCAGGGAAAAUAUGGAAAUAACAGAUUUUGUGAACAUUGGGUAUGCGAAUAUAUAUUAGCUUAUAAUGCCUACAGUUUGGGAGAGCACAGAAAAGGAGAUAUUUAUUCUCAACCUGAUGUUUUUUGAAUGCUCAGUAAUAAAACUGGUACUUUUAAAGAAUUUAAACUGGAAAAUUAAGGGUUUUAUAAAACAAUGACUAAUUUGGGGAGGUUUGCUUUUUAGCUAGUUUUAUAUAUUUAGAUAGCAGUAGAAUUUGCCCUCAAAGCUGUUAAAACUAUAUAUUUUUGCAUGAUCAAUAAUUUCUAACUGUAUGUAUCAACCUUAGUAUUUAGUGGUCCAUGUAUAUUGCUCACACAUCAAACUAUAUUAAAAAAUAGCACAGCAAAACAUAGGAGUGACAGAGGAAAGGUAUAUCUGUUUGUAUAUACUCUAUCAACUUUUUAUGUUGUGUUUUUUUCCUAAUGCUGGGAUUUUUCAUGCUUUGUUUUCCCAACUAAGAUCAGGGUCGCUGGUGGAACAGCUCCAUGAAGAGAAAUGUAAGCAAUGCUUUCAUGACUAGUUCAGAGCCUGUGGGCUGGAACACUCAUUUGGGUAAUGAGAUAAUAUCACCAUCAGAUCUUAAAUAAGAGUUUCCAACAUUAGAGUCUGAACAACCAUGCUACUUGCAAUGAAAUUUUUUUGUCCUACUUGGUGUUGUCCUGGAUGUAUUAAAUCACUUCUCAUCAAGGUGUUUUCAAAAUCUCAUGCGAUCUUUAUGAUAUGACUCAUUUGACAGCAUUUCUAGUGGAAAACCCAGUAAACUCUGGGCUGCAUUCCAGUAAUAUAUCACACAUGAUUGUUUUAAAUAAAUUUGGUAGACUCGAAGUGUAUGUAAGGGUCCCAUGUUUGCCACCCAAUUCUAUUAUUCAUUUAAAAGCUGUGCUUCAGAAAACAUGGAAGAAGGUCAAAACAGAUGUGAAACUAAAGUUAAAUCUCUAUUAUCUGUUUACUGUUUUUCUUGACUAUAUCAUCUAUUUAAGUUUUAACUUUUAGACUCGUGAUAGAUUGAAAUGUGUUUUGUUUUGUUAAUGAAAGGUGGGAUUUCCUUCUAUUCCCUUGUGUCUAAGACUUGCAUCUCCAAGGUGGCAUGAUGAGUCAUUAUAAUGCUAAGAGAAGUAGUGAUAUUUCUCAAAAGAAACUGGUAUCAAAUGAUGCAUAGCGAUCUCUUGAUGCUACACUGUUGUGGUGUCAUUGGUGGGAAAUUCCUGAGUGAAAUAGAUUUAAAUAAAAUAUAAUAAUUUUAAUAAAAAUUGUGAUAAAAAAUUGAAUA